CCUACGGGAGGCAGCAGUGGGGAAUAUUGGACAAUGGGCGCAAGCCUGAUCCAGCCAUGCCGCGUGAGUGAUGAAGGCCCUAGGGUUGUAAAGCUCUUUCACCGGAGAAGAUAAUGACGGUAUCCGGAGAAGAAGCCCCGGCUAACUUCGUGCCAGCAGCCGCGGUAAUACGAAGGGGGCUAGCGUUGUUCGGAAUUACUGGGCGUAAAGCGCACGUAGGCGGAUCGAUCAGUCAGGGGUGAAAUCCCAGGGCUCAACCCUGGAACUGCCUUUGAUACUGUCGAUCUGGAGUAUGGAAGAGGUGAGUGGAAUUCCGAGUGUAGAGGUGAAAUUCGUAGAUAUUCGGAGGAACACCAGUGGCGAAGGCGGCUCACUGGUCCAUUACUGACGCUGAGGUGCGAAAGCGUGGGGAGCAAACAGGAUUAGAUACCCCUGUAGUC
rnacentral:rRNA from 1 species